rfam:Triticum urartu cultivar G1812 contig383360, whole genome shotgun sequence.
CAUAUACUCCCUCCGCCCGAAAAAACUUGUCCCAAACUUGUUCCUUAAACGGAUGUAUCUAGCACUAACUUGAUGCUAGAUAAAUCCAUUUGAGGGAUAAGUUUUUCCGAACGGAGGGAAUAUUAC